CCUUCACUUGGGGGGAGCCGCGGUGCGGCGGCUGAGAGGUUCCCGGUUCGGAACGACCCCUGAACCUGAUCCGGUUCGCACCGGCGGAGGAACAAGUGCGCAUGCCAUG
rnacentral:ncRNA from 2 species